UGACAAAACACCAUCGUCUACAAAGUUUCAACUCAAGAACCAUGCGUUGAGUUAUCCCAGAAAAAAAAAAAAUCCCCAAAGAAUCUCCAAAUGUUUGAACUUUCCCUGCUCCUGGUCUGUGCCUUGUGAAUAGCCAUGGCCACGUGUUGCUGCCACCACAGACAGAGAGGUCUCUGACAGCAUGUUUGCCCAGCCAGGAUGAAUGAAAAUCCCUUUGACACUAUAAGCCAAGAUAAAUCUUUCCUCUGUUCAGCUGUUUCUGUUGGGCAUGUUGUCAUAGCCAGAGGAGAAGUCACGCACUCUGAAUCAAGACUGUGUUUCUUUCAACAAUGGGCUGCUCAAGUUUAUAAAAAAUAAACUGGUAGACUGGGAGAUUACACUAGCUCCCGAAAACCA